rnacentral:rRNA from 1 species
ACGAAGGGGGCUAGCGUUGUUCGGAAUUACUGGGCGUAAAGCGCACGUAGGCGGACAUUUAAGUCAGGGGUGAAAUCCCGGGGCUCAACCCCGGAACUGCCUUUGAUACUGGGUGUCUAGAGUAUGGAAGAGGUGAGUGGAAUUCCCAGUGUAGAGGUGAAAUUCGUAGAUAUUGGGAAGAACACCGGUGGCGAAGGCGGCUCACUGGCUCAUUACUGACGCUCAGGCGCGACAGCGUGGGGAUCAAACAGGA